rnacentral:rRNA from 1 species
GAUGAACGCUAGCGGGAGGCUUAACACAUGCAAGUCGAGGGGUAAAUGGUAGCAAUACUAUGAGACCGGCGGACGGGUGCGUAACGCGUAUGCAACAUACCUUGUGCAGGGGGAUAGCCCGUGGAAACGCGGAUUAAUAUUCCAUAGUCCAGCUAUAUCGCAUGGUAUAGUUGGUAAAGAUUUAUCGGCACAAGUUUGGCAUGCGUCUGAUUAGCUUGUUGGUAGGGUAACGGCCUACCAAGGCUACGAUCAGUAGGGGUUCUGAGAGGAUUAACCCCCACACUGGCACUGAGACACGGACCAGACUCCUACGGGAGGCAGCAGUGAGGAAUAUUGGUCAAUGGGCGGAAGCCUGAACCAGCCAUCCCGCGUGAAGGAAGACAGCCUUACGGGUUGUAAACUUCUUUUCUGUCAGAAGAAUAAGCUUGUCGAGACGAGUGAUGCCGGUAUGACAGGAAUAAGCAUCGGCUAACUCCGUG